rnacentral:piRNA from 1 species
UGUGAAGGAGACCAAGUUGAGGAUCCCCAC